rnacentral:rRNA from 1 species
UACGUAGGGUCCAAGCGUUGUCCGGAGUCACUGGGCGUAAAGCGCGCGCAGGCGGCGGUGCUGGCCCGGCGUGAAAGCCCCCGGCUCAACCGGGGAGGGUCGUCGGGGACCGCACCGCUUGAGGGCGGUAGGGGCUGGUGGAAUGCCUGGUGUAGUGGUGAAAUGCGUAGAGAUCAGGCGGAACACCCGUGGCGAAGGCGGCCAGCUGGGCCGUCCCUGACGCUGAGGCGCGAAGGCGUGGGGAGCGAACGGG